AUGGCUCGCCUUUCCUGCUCACCCCUCCUCCUCCUCCUCCUCGUCUUGUCGUCGCAGCUCGCCCUGCUCGUCGCCGGCGAGUUCCUCCGCCUGCCGUCCGAGAAGGACGUCGUCGGGACGAGAUGGGCCGUCCUCAUCGCCGGCUCCAACGGCUACUACAACUACCGCCACCAGGCGGACGUGUGCCACGCGUACCAAAUCAUGAAGAAGGGCGGGCUCAAGGACGAGAACAUCAUCGUCUUCAUGUACGACGACAUCGCCGGCAGCCGCGACAACCCCAGGCCCGGGGUCAUCAUCAACCACCCCCAAGGCGGCGACGUCUACGCCGGAGUCCCCAAGGACUACACGGGGGCGGACGUGAACGCCAACAACUUCCUCGCCGCCCUGCUCGGCGACAAGUCCAAGCUCACCGGCAGCGGCAGCGGCAAGGUCGUCACCAGCGGCCCGGACGACCACAUCUUCGUCUACUACGCCGAUCACGGCGGCCCAGGGAUCCUCGGGAUGCCGGGCGACGAGGAGUACCUGUACGCGAACGACCUGGUGCGGACGCUGGAGAAGAAGCACGCCGGCGGGGCCGGGUACAAGAGCCUCGUCUUCUACCUGGAGGCCUGCGAGUCCGGGAGCAUCUUCGAGGGCCUCCUCCCGGGCAACAUCAGCGUGUACGCCACCACGGCGGCCAACGCGGAGGAGAGCAGCUGGGGCACCUACUGCCCUGGCGACGACGAGGGCGCCCCGCCGCCGGAGUACGACACCUGCCUCGGCGACCUCUACAGCGUCGCCUGGAUGGAGGACAGCGACGCGCACAACCUCAACGCCGAGUCCCUUAAGCUGCAGUACGAGCGGGUCAGGGACCGGACGUCGGCGGGCGGCACGUACAGCCUCGGCUCCCACGUCAUGCAGUACGGCGACCUGGGCCUCAACGACCAGAGCCUCUUCGUCUACAUCGGCACCAACCCUGCCAACGACAACGCCUCCUUCGUCCAGGGCUCCUCCUCGAGGCGGCUGCCGGGCGGCGGAGUGAACCAGCGGGACGCCGACCUCGUCCACUUCUGGCACAAGUACCGGAGGUCGGCGGAGGGGUCGGCCGAGAAAGGCGAGGCGCGGAGGCGGCUGGUGGAGACGAUGGCGCGGCGGUCUCGCGUGGACAGCAGCGUGGAGCUCAUCGGCGGCCUCCUCUUCGGCUCAGAGGAAGGUGCCAAGGUCCUCGACGCCGUGCGGCCGGCCGGGCAGCCUGUGGUGGAUGACUGGGACUGCCUCAAGUCUGUGGUGCGGACGUUCCAGGAGCGGUGCGGGCCGCUGACGCAGUACGGGAUGAAGCACAUGCGCUCGCUCGCCAAUCUCUGCAACGCCGGCGUCCGGGAGGAGGCCAUGGACAAGGCUGCGGCUCAGGCGUGCGCUGCUAAUCCUUCCUCCUUGUUCUGA
rnacentral:rRNA from 1 species